UUCCGGUUGAUCCCGCCGGAGGUCACUGCUAUCGGUGUUCGAUUAAGCCAUGCGAGUCGAGAGGUGUUAUGGCCUCGGCGGACUGCUCAGUAACACGUGGAUAACCUACCCAAUAGUCUGGGAUAACCCCGGGAAACUGGGGAUAAUACCGGAUGGAUCAUCUUUGCUGGAAGGCUUGGUGGUUGAAACUCUUCGGGGGCUGUUGGAUGGGUCUGCGGCUGAUUAGGUUGUUGCCGGUGUAAUGUACCGUCAAGCCUGUAAUCAGUACGGGUUGUGGGAGCAAGAGCCCGGAGAUGGAUUCUGAGACACGAAUCCAGGCCCUACGGGGCGCAGCAGGCGCGAAAACUCUACAAUGCAGGCAACUGCGAUAGGGGAACAUCGAGUGAUCCUCAUAUUGGGGGUCUGUCCGCCCGCCUAUAAAGCGGGUGUUAGCAAGGGCCGGGCAAGACCGGUGCCAGCCGCCGCGUUAUUACCG
rnacentral:rRNA from 1 species